rnacentral:rRNA from 1 species
UACGUAGGGGGCAAGCGUUGUCCGGAUUUAUUGGGCGUAAAGAGCGUGUAGGCGGCCUGACAGGUCUGCUGUGAAAACUCGAGGCUCAACCUCGAGAUGUCGGCGGAAACCGUCUGGCUAGAGUCCGGAAGAGGAGAGUGGAAUUCCUGGUGUAGCGGUGAAAUGCGCAGAUAUCAGGAAGAACACCUAUGGCGAAGGCAGCUCUCUGGGACGGUACUGACGUUGAGACGCGAAAGCGUGGGGAGCGAACAGG